CAAGUUGUUCUGAAAGUCCCUAAAGCAUUUGUUAUAAUUAGUGGGUUUGCAAAUGACUUAGUUUAACAGCAUCUCCUUUGUACAAUGCUUUGUUAUCCUUUUGUAACAUCACAACAUCUGGUUUGUAUUUUCUGUGACUACAGGUGAGAAAAGCCACUCUCUACUUGGUUGCAAAUUCUAUUCCACUGUCCAGAUUUUCCCCCCCUAACAACUUGCUUGCUAGUCCUCCAUCCCUAGCAUGACUCUUAGAUAUUGCAUCACCACUUCCCUUUCGCCCAGUGCUCUCUGACCUACCACGUGAACAUGUGAAAGGAGGCGGUCAGUGUACCACCAAGCGUCACAGCGUUGGCGGCUUCAUUCAUUUUGACCUACAGUUAGGCCCGGGUUGGGGAACUGAGGGGGAGGUACUGAAGCCCAGAGAGGGGAGACGAAGCAGAUAACUGCUCACUUUCUCUUCUCUUUUUGCAUUUCCAGUUUUAGAGAGAACGCGCAAAUGUCUCAACUGUAACAGAGGCCUCCACUUCAGCUUGUGUUUCAAGGACACCAGGAGAACUAAGUUUAAUCCGUCCAGCCCCAGCAGCAUCCUCAGGACCAAGACCAAACAGGAUGAGUUUCUGAAAAGAAGACCUUACUGGAAUGCGUGCUAA
rnacentral:lncRNA from 1 species